GGCAGUGUGGUAUAGUGGUUUGAGCAUUGGACUGUGACUCCAGAGACCAGGGUUUAAAUCCCCACUCAGCCA